GAUGAACGCUGGCGGCGUGCCUAAUACAUGCAAGUCGAGCGAACAGACGAGGAGCUUGCUCCUCUGACGUUAGCGGCGGACGGGUGAGUAACACGUGGAUAACCUACCUAUAAGACUGGGAUAACUUCGGGAAACCGGAGCUAAUACCGGAUAAUAUAUUGAACCGCAUGGUUCAAUAGUGAAAGACGGUUUUGCUGUCACUUAUAGAUGGAUCCGCGCCGCAUUAGCUAGUUGGUAGGGUAACGGCUUACCAAGGCAACGAUGCGUAGCCGACCUGAGAGGGUGAUCGGCCACACUGGAACUGAGCCACGGUCCAGACUCCUACGGGAGGCAGCAGUAGGGAAUCUGCCGCAAUGGGCGAAAGCCUGACGGAGCAACGCCGCGUGAGUGAUGAAGGUCUUCGGAUCGUAAAACUCUGUUAUUAGGUAAGAACAAAUGUGUAAGUAACUAUGCACGUCUUGACGGUACCUAAUCAGAAAGCCACGGCUAACUACGUG
rnacentral:rRNA from 1 species